UGUGGCCCAGUGGAUGUGGCCGGGUCUCCUCAAGCUGCACUCAUCCAAGUAGGACCCAGGCUGCACGCCCAUCUCCAGCCCAGGGCAGCUCCCCUGUAAGCUGGGGGAACUACUGAGGCCAAGGCGGGAGGCGGCUGACAGCACCCACGGCCCAUGCGGAGGUGGUGGAAAGGCUGGACUCAGCAGCAACACCAAGUCCCGGACCAAGCAGAAACCACCCGAGACUGAGGGGCUCGUGCCAGAGCGGUGGCCACAGAGUCAGAACAGCCUCUCCCCAGUGGGCAUCGUCUCUGUCAAACCAACAGCGGUCCCUGCCCCAACCAGACCGCCCCCGUCAGUGGAAUUACGGCCGCUGCUCCAGUGCUCACCGGAGCCCUCCAGGAAGUUGGGGUAGAACUCAUCAGUGAAGAGGGGCUCGGGCAGCUCACGGAAGUACAGCUUCAGCGUGCCUGUGAUGGCGUUCAUGUCCAUCUCGCUCAUCAUCACCGACACGUCCUUGUUAUCUGGAAAGAGCAUAGAAAUGCAGCGGCCUCCUUCAGGAUCCCGAGGCAGUGGACAGACCGCACUGAGUCCUGGGCUUCCACCUCCUGUCCACCCGCAAGGCAGGAAGGCCAAGGCCCUGCAGAAGCCCCUGGUUCAUCCCAGCAAGUGGCAUGGGUGAGUAUGAUGGUGUAAAAACUGGCUUCUGUAGAAGCUCUACAACUCGUCUUUUUUAAAAAAAUAAUAAAACAGUAAAUGAAGAAAAGACGAAGGAUGUGACAUGCCCGGGCCAUGGAGCACUCUGAGAUCACAUCGUGGAAACCACCGCCCACACCUCCAUCCCGUCCUGCGCAGGCCGACACUCACUGACGUCGAAGGCUGCCUUCAGUGCCUGGAUGUCCGUGGCCACUCUGGACACGCGGUAGAUUCCCACCUCUUCCAUGCCUCAGCGCUGUAUCUCCAUGCGCUGGCGCACGAUGUAGGGCACCUUGGACCUCUCUCUCCUGCAGGAGGAGGAAAUGUUGAGGAAAUGUUCUCAGUGUCCUGACAACCCUGCUUGGGCCACAGCACAGGAGACCUGCCCCCUAUCUGCACACCCAGAGGUGAGGUGAGGACGGUGACGAAGGUACCCGGGUGUGGGGCCGUACACAGAGCCUUUUGCAUGUCUGUGCUCCCUCUGCAAGCCCUGUCCUCAUUGCAUGUACUUUCUCAGGAACUUUUCAGGCAGCCAGAACCCCUGCAAGUUGCUACCCAUUAUCUUUGUGGGAAAGUCAGUAGGCCUAAGUAAAGUCAGCACAGAAAGGGCAUCUGACAGAUUCCAGGCCUUGGGUUAGCAGCCUGUGCUCCCAGCUGGGGCAUCAGACCCAGUGUUGGUCCUGCCACCCGCGUGCUGUGUGAGAGGAGAAUCUCUGACCCCUGCCCUGGGCGUGGGCCUUAGCACACAUCGGACAAAUGAAGGGUUGCCUCAGCACCCGUGCUCCAAGUCCUGCGCUGCCAAGUGCUUUUCUCCUCUGAGUCCUAGCACUGAACAAUUCCAAUACCGCCACACAGGACACUAGAGUAAGAAUACUUCAAAGUGAGCGCUGUGCUGAGGCCUUAACUUUAGUUCUGUUUUGCAACUGGAUUUGGGAGCACAUCCAAGCUGCUUCUCAAGCCACCCUCAUUAGCAGUGCUUCUUUGGGGGAGCUGCUGCUGGAGUCCUCGCUGCUCAUGACCAGAGCCCUCCCAGAGUGCUACGCAAGUGGCUGCCAUGUAGUUGGGGGUGAGCGUGCUGUUUAGACGCAGAAAGGAAUCCAGGGUGUGACUGAUGGAGGCCCCGGCCCACAUGACCAGCAAGUUCAGAGGCCCAGCCGGAUUCCAUCCUGGGGAAGCAAAUGAAUUCUCAGAGGAAGUGGUCUGUGUCUGCAAGAACUGCUCUCAAACCCAACAGGCUUCUCUUGGCAACUGACUCGUGACAAAGGGGCAGGGGUUAUGGCCAUUCAACAGGAACCUGGGACUGUGACAAAUUCCAAGCGAGGACAGAAAACCUUGCACUCAGGCAGUUCCUGGAGCCAGCCCUACUGCUUCCAAGCAAGGCGGCAAGGACAUUCCUGAGCUGGUGUUGAGUAAACACAGGAGGUAGCUGAACACACCAAGUGUUCCCUGGGGCCUGACCUCACCACGCAGCGGCCACACAGAGAGAGGAGAGACCCACACAUGCUCUUCUCUGCAGAAACAGCUGAAGGGACAGGCACCCGCAGUGCAUGAGCCCAAGCCCGUCCCCACUCACUUGGUGACCACAGCAAUCUUGACUCUGAAGACCCCUGUUUACAGGACGGCAUCCUCUUCAAGCUGAACUCUCUGCUGUUGAACUUGAUCGAGAGCUUUACUUCAAUCUAUAGUGGGGAGAAAGGGCACAGUCCUCUGAUCUUUCUGGCCCUCAUAGCCCAAGGUCACAAGGGCCCCUUGGAGUGUCAUCAAAUAUUUCCACCCCCAAGGCAUGCAGAGGUCUCAGCAUGAGGUAGGGCUGCCCCUCAGGGAAUCCCCUCGUCUACUUCAGCAAGAGCCGGGAUUGUUGAAGAUGGUGUAAAAGACUGGCUUCUGCAGAACCACCUCCUAAAAUCCCCGCUGCUUCUCUUGCUUGCUUGGGUUUUUUUUUUUUUUAGAUACAAGAUCUUGCUAUGUUGCCCAGGCUAUACUCAAACUCUUGGGCUCCACUGAUUCUCCUGGCUCCAGAGUAGCUGAGACUAUAGGUGCACUGUGCCUCUCUCUUUCUUAGUAACAAAAAUUAAGACAGACAGAGUAAUAUAAGAAAAACCCAAGAAACUCAAAUGUUAACAUUUUACCAUAUAUGCCCAGGCCUUUUUGGGUAUGUCAUUGCUUUUAAGGUCUAAACUUUUCUGGGGUACCUAAAGACAAAUCAGAGGUCUCCAUUUCCACAGGCAGCCCCCCAGGUCCCCAAGUGGAGGCCCCACCUGUACUGGUGGUGCCAUGAGACCUUUGUUUGAGGAGGGAUGCUCAGGGCCUGGCUGGCAACUGCAUCCCAGCCAGUGAAUGACGGUUCUGUGCAUGGCGAUUCUGCUCUUUGGGGAACCUCCCUCCUCCAACCAGGCUCCGUGUCAGACGCUGGCUCAGGCUCAGCCACCUCUGACUGAUUUGAAAUGAACAGAGGCCACCCUACCCUUCUGGGGGAUGUGGGUGCCAGGAGAAUCUCAUAGACAUGUACCCUAUUCAUGGCGAUGACAGCACACUGUCAGUCUCUGUCCUGCAGGGCCUGUGCGUCCAGCUGAAAGCAAGGAGUUAUGAUUGGCAGAGGCCCUGGGGUCUGUUCAGAGGCUGCAAGAGGCUGCACGGGACAGCAGCCCACACCCGCCACUUCUCCAGUCCUUAGUCAGAGGCAGAGCCUGACUGUGGCCAGCAUCUCCACCCAGAGGCCAAAAGAGGUAGAGUAAGGAGGGGCCUGCCAGACACCCCUGGAACCCAGGGCCCCACUGCUCCCAGAGCCCUGCUGCCUGGGGUCCCCACCCCCUCCUCCCUCUGCCCCUCCCAGUUGGGAGCUGAUGCGCAGGCUGGCAGACUCUCUCCACCCGGCUCCCGUCACCACGGGUGCUAUGUGGAGCUCAGUGAAGGGCGAGUUGUCCAGCAGCAACUUCAGUAACAACUCCUGGGGGCCUGGUAUCCACUGCUGCUGUCUGGGGAACUGUGGACACUGUUCUCCCCCUGCACCAUGAACAGCUUGUGGCAGGAGGAGCCUGCAGGCCACACCAGUCCCGUGGUUCAGAAUCAGGCCCAGGAGGACCCAGAGCCAAGCCCUAAAUCGAGCAGCUGGUGAGGCGGCCAGGAGGAAGCCCCUCUGUGACCUCUCUAACUUCUACCCCCACCCAGCCCUGUCCAGGCAGCUAGCCUGCAGGAACUUGUCCUUAAUGUCACCUGAACACAGUCUGUGCUAGUACAAAACACCCUGUCAUGACCAAGCCACACGUCCCCCGUCCGUGAAGGCUGUCUCCUGUUUUAUGGGGAGCACAAGCUCUGUGUCAGCAGUUCCUGGAUACACAGAGACCACUGGUUGGGCUGGGCAGUACCAUCAUGUUAAAAAUACACCUUCCUGGGCUCCA